rnacentral:rRNA from 1 species
GAUGAACGCUGGCGGCGUGCCUAAUACAUGCAAGUCGAGCGAACGGACGAGAAGCUUGCUUCUCUGAUGUUAGCGGCGGACGGGUGAGUAACACGUGGAUAACCUACCUAUAAGACUGGGAUAACUUCGGGAAACCGGAGCUAAUACCGGAUGAUAUUUUGAACCGCAUGGUUCAAAAGUGAAAGACGGUCUUGCUGUCACUUAUAGAUGGAUCCGCGCUGCAUUAGCUAGUUGGUAAGGUAACGGCUUACCAAGGCAACGAUGCAUAGCCGACCUGAGAGGGUGAUCGGCCACCCUGGAACUGAGACACGGUCCAGACUCCUACGGGAGGCAGCAGUAGGGAAUCUUCCGCAAUGGGCGAAAGCCUGACGGAGCAACGCCGCGUGAGUGAUGAAGGUCUUCGGAUCGGAAAACUCUGUUAUUAGGGAAGAACAUAUGUGUAAGUAACUGUGCACAUCUUGACGGUACCUAAUCAGAAAGCCACGGCUAACUACGUG